GCGUACCUUUUGUAUAAUGGGUCAGCGACUUAUAUUCUGUAGCAAGGUUAACCGAAUAGGGAAGCCGGAGGGAAACCGAGUCUUAACCGGGCGUUAAGUUGCAGGGUAUAGACCCGAAACCCGGUGAUCUAGCCAUGGGCAGGUUGAAGGUUGGGUAACACUAACUGGAGGACCGAACCGACUAAUGUUGAAAAAUUAGCGGAUGACCUGUGGCUGGGGGUGAAAGGCCAAUCAAACCGGGAGAUAGCUGGUUCUCCCCGAAAGCUAUUUAGGUAGCGCCUCGUGAAUUCAUCUCCGGGGGUAGAGCACUGUUUCGGCUAGGGGGCCAUCCCGGCUUACCAACCCGAUGCAAACUGCGAAUACCGGAGAAUGUUAUCACGGGAGACACACGGCGGGUGCUAACGUCCGUCGUGAAGAGGGAAACAACCCAGACCGCCAGCUAAGGUCCCAAAGUCAUGGUUAAGUGGGAAACGAUGUGGGAAGGCCCAGACAGCCAGGAUGUUGGCUUAGAAGCAGCCAUCAUUUAAAGAAAGCGUAAUAGCUCACUGGUCGAGUCGGCCUGCGCGGAAGAUGUAACGGGGCUAAACCAUGCACCGAAGCUGCGGCAGCGACGCUGAUGCGUUGUUGGGUAGGGGAGCGUUCUGUAAGCCUGUGAAGGUGGCCUGUGAGGGUUGCUGGAGGUAUCAGAAGUGCGAAUGCUGACAUAAGUAACGAUAAAGCGGGUGAAAAGCCCGCUCGCCGGAAGACCAAGGGUUCCUGUCCAACGUUAAUCGGGGCAGGGUGAGUCGACCCCUAAGGCGAGGCCGAAAGGCGUAGUCGAUGGGAAACGGGUUAAUAUUCCCGUACUUGGUGUUACUGCGAAGGGGGGACGGAGAAGGCUAUGUUGGCCGGGCGACGGUUGUCCCGGUUUAAGCGUGUAGGUGUGUGUUCCAGGUAAAUCCGGUUCACUUUAACACUGAGGCGUGAUGACGAGGCACUACGGUGCUGAAGCAACAAAUGCCCUGCUUCCAGGAAAAGCCUCUAAGCAUCAGGUAACAUCAAAUCGUACCCCAAACCGACACAGGUGGUCAGGUAGAGAAUACCAAGGCGCUUGAGAGAACUCGGGUGAAGGAACUAGGCAAAAUGGUGCCGUAACUUCGGGAGAAGGCACGCUGACACGUAGGUGAAGUGAUUUACUCAUGGAGCUGAAGUCAGUCGAAGAUACCAGCUGGCUGCAACUGUUUAUUAAAAACACAGCACUGUGCAAACACGAAAGUGGACGUAUACGGUGUGACGCCUGCCCGGUGCCGGAAGGUUAAUUGAUGGGGUCAGCGCAAGCGAAGCUCCUGAUCGAAGCCCCGGUAAACGGCGGCCGUAACUAUAACGGUCCUAAGGUAGCGAAAUUCCUUGUCGGGUAAGUUCCGACCUGCACGAAUGGCGUAAUGAUGGCCAGGCUGUCUCCACCCGAGACUCAGUGAAAUUGAACUCGCUGUGAAGAUGCAGUGUACCCGCGGCAAGACGGAAAGACCCCGUGAACCUUUACUAUAGCUUGACACUGAACAUUGAGCCUUGAUGUGUAGGAUAGGUGGGAGGCUUUGAAGUGUGGACGCCAGUCUGCAUGGAGCCGGCCUUGAAAUACCACCCUUUAAUGUUUGAUGUUCUAACGUGGACCCGUAAUCCGGGUUGCGGACAGUGUCUGGUGGGUAGUUUGACUGGGGCGGUCUCCUCCUAAAGAGUAACGGAGGAGCACGAAGGUUGGCUAAUCCUGGUCGGACAUCAGGAGGUUAGUGCAAUGGCAUAAGCCAGCUUGACUGCGAGCGUGACGGCGCGAGCAGGUGCGAAAGCAGGUCAUAGUGAUCCGGUGGUUCUGAAUGGAAGGGCCAUCGCUCAACGGAUAAAAGGUACUCCGGGGAUAACAGGCUGAUACCGCCCAAGAGUUCAUAUCGACGGCGGUGUUUGGCACCUCGAUGUCGGCUCAUCACAUCCUGGGGCUGAAGUAGGUCCCAAGGGUAUGGCUGUUCGCCAUUUAAAGUGGUACGCGAGCUGGGUUUAGAACGUCGUGAGACAGUUCGGUCCCUAUCUGCCGUGGGCGCUGGAGAACUGAGGGGGGCUGCUCCUAGUACGAGAGGACCGGAGUGGACGCAUCACUGGUGUUCGGGUUGUCAUGCCAAUGGCACUGCCCGGUAGCUAAAUGCGGAAGAGAUAAGUGCUGAAAGCAUCUAAGCACGAAACUUGCCCCGA
rnacentral:rRNA from 1 species